AGGUUCCCAGGCUAGGGAUCCAAUCGGAGUUGCAGCUGUCGGCCUGGCCUACACCACAGCCACAGCCACAGCCACGCUGAAUCUGAGUCACAUCUGCAACCUACAUCAUGACUUGUGGCAACGCCAGAUCCUUAACCCACUGAGCAAGGCUAGGGAUCGAAUGUGCAUCCUCAUGGGUGCUUGUCAGCUUCUUAACCUGCUGAGCCACAGUGAGAACACUUUUAAGAAUAAGAAGGCAGGAUAAAGGGUAAGAAGAGAUGGAGGGAGGGGCCACUACAGACAGAGCGUUUGUCCUGGAAGGCUUCUGAGCAAAGCGCUGAGCUAAGAGGCAGACAGCCAAGCAGGUAUCUAAAGGAUGAGCAAUUUAGUUGGAGGGAAACAGAAAAUAGUUUGUUCAAAAGUCAUGAGUCAGGGAGUUCCCGUCGUGGCACAGUGGUUAACGAAUCCGACUAGGAACCAUGAGGUUGCGGGUUCGAUCCCUGGCCUUGCUCAGUGGGUUAACGAUCCAGCGUUGCCGUGAGCUGUGGUGUAGGUUGCAGACGUGGCUCGGAUCCUGCGUUGCUGUGGCUCUGGCGUAGGCUGGCGGCCACAGCUCCGAUUCAACCCCUAGCCUGGGAACCUCCAUAUGCUGCAGGGGCGGCCCAAGAAAUAGCAAAAAGACAAAAAAAAAAAAAAAAAAAAAGUCAUGAGUCUAUUCUCUCACCCUGAGAUCAAGGAUGAGGGACUAAGAAUUGACAUUUUUUCUUUUCUUUUUUUUUUUGGCUGCAUACAAAAAUUCCCAGGCCAGGGAUGAAACUGGUGCCACAGGCAUGAAAAUGCUGGAUCCUUAAUGCACUGAGCCACCAGGGAACUCCUCCACAUUUCUAAUAAAACGCCAGGAUGGUGGUGGUGGUUCCUGGAUCACAAUUUGAGUGGCAUCGGUCAAAACCAGCCCUCUAGAAAACUUUCUGACAGACUAAGGACUGGAGGUUUUCACCUUCAAAUCAUUCUACUAACCUCAAAGAAUGCUCUGUUACCUGAGGGCAAAAAAAUUAAAGAAGGUAAACACUGCAAGCUUCUCUUGCAGUGGGAUUUUAACAAAUGGGAUUAGAAUCAAGGUUUGUUAGGAUCAGACGGCGCACCAAAGCCAACUCUAAGCACCUAACUUUACCCACUAGAAGAUCCAGGCCCUU
rnacentral:lncRNA from 1 species